rnacentral:rRNA from 1 species
UCAAGUUAUUAAGGGUGCAGGGCGGAUGCCUUGGCACCGGGAGCCGAUGAAGGACGUGAUAAGCUGCGAUAAGCUAUGGGGAGUUGCACGUAAACUUUGAUCCAUAGAUUUCCGAAUGAGGAAACUCACCAUGAGUAAUGUCAUGGUAUCUUCGAGUGAAUACAUAGCUCGUUGAGGGGAACUCGGGGAACUGAAACAUCUAAGUACCCGAAGGAAGAGAAAGAAAUUCGAUUCCGCUAGUAGCGGCGAGCGAACGCGGAACAGCCCAAACCUAAGAAGUUCGCUUCUUAGGGGUUGCGGACAUAUCAUCAGGAAGAGGUUAUUACAGACGAAGAGUUUUGGAAAGCUCCGCCAUAGAAGGUAACAGCCCUGUAGUCGAAGUGAGAAGACUUCCGAUAUGAUCCAGAGUACCACGGGACACGUGAAACCCCGUGGGAAGCAGGAGGGACCACCCUCCAAGGCUAAAUACUACCCGGUGACCGAUAGCGCAUAGUACCGUGAGGGAAAGGUGAAAAGAACCCCGGGAGGGGAGUGAAAUAGAACCUGAAACCCUGUACUUACAAACUGUGGAAGCACAUUUCUUGUGUGACCGCGUACUUUUUGUAGAACGGGCCAACGAGUUACGUUAUGCAGCAAGGUUAAGUACUUCAAGUAUGCAGCCGCAGCGAAAGCGAGUUUUAACUGAGCGUUUAGUUGCAUGACGUAGACCCGAAACCGGGUGACCUAUCCAUGAGCAGGUUGAAGCGAAAGUAAAAUUUCGUGGAGGACCGAACCCACGAGCGUUGAAAAGCUCGGGGAUGACUUGUGGAUAGCGGUGAAAUUCCAAUCGAACCCGGAGAUAGCUGGUUCUCCCCGAAAUAGCUUUAGGGCUAGCCUCAGAUUCAGAGAUACGGAGGUAGAGCACUGAAUGUCCUAGGGGGUAUUGCACCUACCGAAGACUAUCAAACUCCGAAUGCCGUCAUCUUUUAUCUGGGAGUCAGACCGUGGGUGAUAAGAUUCACGGUCGAGAGGGCAACAGCCCAGACCGUCGGCUAAGGUCCCCAAAUGUAGGUUAAGUGGUAAAGGAUGUGGGAUUGCACAGACAACCAGGAUGUUGGCUUAGAAGCAGCCACUCAUUCAAAGAGUGCGUAAUAGCUCACUGGUCGAGUGAUCCUGCGCCGAAGAUUUCCGGGGCUAAAACCUACUACCGAAGCCACGGCAUCAUUUAUGAUGGGUAGGGGAGCUUUCUUUACUGGGCAGAAGCAUGACCGUAAGGACAUGUGGACUGUAAAGAAGUGAGAAUGUUGGCAUGAGUAGCGAGAUGUGGGUGAGAAUCCCACAGGCCGUAAACCCAAGGUUUCCAGGGGAAGGUUCGUCCUCCCUGGGUUAGUCGGGACCUAAGCCGAGGCCGAAAGGCGUAGGUGAUGGACAACAGGUUGAAAUUCCUGUACCGCCAAUAAGCGUUUGAGAAAUGGGAUGACACAGUAGGACAGGAUGAGCGUGCUGUUGGUUAUGCACGUCCAAGCACUGAGGCAGUAUCCGGAGGCAAAUCCACGGAUAUAAUGCUGGGGUGUGACGGGGAGCGAAAUUUAGUAGCGAAGCAUCUGCAUUCACACUGUCGAGAAAAGUCUCUAUCGAGUUUAAAGGCGCCCGUACCGCAAACCGACACAGGUGGGUGAGGAGAGUAUCCUAAGGCCAGCGAGAGAACUGUUGUUAAGGAACUCGGCAAAAUGACCCCGUAACUUAGGGAUAAGGGGUGCCAUCGAAAGAUGGCCGCAGAGAAUAGGCCCAAGCGACUGUUUACCAAAAACAUAGGUUUCUGCUAAGUCGCAAGACGAUGUAUAGGAGCUGACGCCUGCCCGGUGCUGGAAGGUUAAGGGGAUCUGUUAGAGCAAUCGAAGCAGUGAACUUAAGCCCCAGUAAACGGCGGCCGUAACUAUAACGGUCCUAAGGUAGCGAAAUUCCUUGUCGGGUAAGUUCCGACCCGCACGAAAGGCGUAACGAUUUGGGCACUGUCUCAACAACAGACUCGGUGAAAUUGUAAUUCCGGUGAAGAUGCCGGAUACCUGCGACAGGACGGAAAGACCCCAUGGAGCUUUACUGUAGCUUGGCAUUGGGUCUUGGUACUACAUGUACAGCAUAGGUGGGAGGCUUUGAUUCCAGGACGCCAGUUUUGGAUGAGCCACCGUUGGGAUACCACCCCUGUAGUACUGGGACUCUAACCAGAGGCCUUGAAUCAGGUCUUGGGACACUGUCAGGCGGGCAGUUUGACUGGGGCGGUCGCCUCCCAAAAGGUAACGGAGGCGCUCAAAGGUUCUCUCAGCACGGUCGGAAAUCGUGCACAGAGUGUAAAGGCAUAAGAGAGCUUGAUUGCAAGACAUACAGGUCGAGCAAGGACGAAAGUCGGACUUAGUGAUCCGGUGGUUCUGAGUGGAAGGGCCAUCGCUCAACGGAUAAAAGCUACCCUGGGGAUAACAGGCUUAUCUCCCCCAAGAGUCCACAUCGACGGGGAGGUUUGGCACCUCGAUGUCGGCUCAUCACAUCCUGGGGCUGUAGUAGGUCCCAAGGGUUGGGCUGUUCGCCCAUUAAAGUGGUACGCGAGCUGGGUUCAGAACGUCGUGAGACAGUUCGGUCCCUAUCCGUCGCAGGCGUAGGAAAUUUGAGAGGAUCUGCCCUUAGUACGAGAGGACCGGGGUGGACGUACCGCUGGUGUACCAGUUGUCUCGCCAGAGGCAUGGCUGGGUAGCUAUGUACGGAACGGAUAAGCGCUGAAAGCAUCUAAGCGCGAAGCCAGCCUCAAGAUAAGAUUUCCCAUUCUUCGGAAGUAAGACCCCAUGAAGACUACGUGGUUGAUAGGUCGGAGGUGGAAGUGCAGUAAUGUAUGUAGCUUACCGAUACUAAUAGGUCGAGGACUUGACCAA